GGAAGUAAAAGCGUAACAAGGUCUCCGUUGGUGAGCCAGCGGAGGGAUCAUUACCGAGUUUACAACUCCCAAACCCCUGUGAACAUACCAUUUGUUGCCUCGGCGGUGCCUGCUUCGGCAGCCCGCCAGAGGACCCAAACCCUUGAUUUUAUACAGUAUCUUCUGAGUAAAUGAUUAAAUAAAUCAAAACUUUCAACAACGGAUCUCUUGGUUCUG
rnacentral:misc_RNA from 1 species